rnacentral:rRNA from 1 species
CCUACGGGAGGCAGCAGUGGGGAAUUUUGGACAAUGGGCGAAAGCCUGAUCCAGCAAUGCCGCGUGCAGGACGAAGGCCUUCGGGUUGUAAACUGCUUUUGUACGGAACGAAACGGUCUCUUUUAAUACAGGGGGCUAAUGACGGUACCGUAAGAAUAAGCACCGGCUAACUACGUGCCAGCAGCCGCGGUAAUACGUAGGGUGCGAGCGUUAAUCGGAAUUACUGGGCGUAAAGCGUGCGCAGGCGGUUAUAUAAGACAGAUGUGAAAUCCCCGGGCUCAACCUGGGACCUGCAUUUGUGACUGUAUAGCUAGAGUACGGUAGAGGGGGAUGGAAUUCCGCGUGUAGCAGUGAAAUGCGUAGAUAUGCGGAGGAACACCGAUGGCGAAGGCAAUCCCCUGGACCUGUACUGACGCUCAUGCACGAAAGCGUGGGGAGCAAACAGGAUUAGAUACCCUGGUAGUCCACGCCCUAAACGAUGUCAACUGGUUGUUGGGUCUUCACUGACUCAGUAACGAAGCUAACGCGUGAAGUUGACCGCCGUCGGGAGGUACGGCCGGCGAGGUAGAACGUAACGAAAGGAAAGUUAGACGGCGUGAGACGCGACGACGACGACGACGGAGGGAGGAGG